AUGGCUGCAUUGCAGUGGUGGGUGAUUUUGUACCUAGUUCUGAAGUGCUUUGGGGCCCUGCAGGGCACUCUGGAGCUGUGGCUAGGGCAUGUCAGGCUGAGGGNNNNNNNNNNNNNNNNNNNNUGUCAGGCUGAGGGGCUGGUCGGGGCAAGCUGGGCAGACCUCAGGCUGGUGGUGAUUCACCAGCAGGUCCUUUCAGAAGGCAUAUCUCUUCUCUGCUUUCUCCCAGCAGCUGGUGGGGAACACAUUGCUGGAGUGCCACCCACACCCCCUGCCAUGCCACACACCAGUUGCUGCGUCUCUCCUCUCUCCCUCCUGGGCUGUCACGCUGACCUGAAGCAGGAAGGAGCUGAGGGAAAGGCCAAUUUUUCUGGUGAGACAUCCCUGGGGACGGGAAGAGGAAGCCAAGUGCUGCCACUGGCUGCUGCAGCCACAGGCUCCCACGGGACAGCAGUCAUGAGUGAGCAGCCAGCAGCAGCUGAAGAUGCAUCAGACGCAAGUCUGCAUGGGUCUGGCAUGGCAGGCUUGCUCCAGAAUGUCCAGCAACUGCUGGUGCAGAUCCUGCAGACAUCGUGGCAGCAGCAGGCACUACUGGAGAGCCUGGCCAGAGACACCGUCUCCCACCUCCACCUCCUCUCCCACAGCCUUGUGCAGAUGGGCGAGACCCUGCAACAACUCCUGCUCCAGCCACAGACCUAUCCUCACCCCCUUGGCCACUGUGUCCCCCACAUGCCCCUUUUUGAGGGUGGCUCCAGAGUGCCCUGCUCCCCUGGUACUCCUCACACUUCCCUGGAUCACAAAGAGGAGCCUCAGCUGUCCUCUGAUGCCAGGUGCAUCUCCCCCUGAGUGGCACCAUCGCUGGCCCCAGGAGGAACAGCUUUGGUACAGAGCCAUGGCACAAAUCUUUAUAUCAGAGGUUCCAGAUAUUUUGAAAGUUUAUACUAGAGAGACAUUUAAUAAAAUUAAAAAUAGCUUUUCU
rnacentral:lncRNA from 1 species